rnacentral:rRNA from 1 species
CUGGUUCAGGAUGAACGCUAGCGACAGGCUUAACGACAUGCAAGUCGAGGGGCAGCACGGGAGUAGCAAUACUUGGUGGCGACCGGCGCACGGGUGAGUAACGCGUAUGCAACCGUACCUAUCGAGAGGGGAAUAACCCGGCGAAAGUCGGACUAAUACCGCAUAAAACAGGGGGCACCGCAUGGUGAUAUUUGUUAAAGAAAUUCGCUGAUAGAUGGGCAUGCGUUCCAUUAGGUAGUUGGUGAGGUAACGGCUCACCAAGCCGACGAUGGAUAGGGGAACUGAGAGGUUGGUCCCCCACACUGGUACUGAGACACGGACCAGACUCCUACGGGAGGCAGCAGUGAGGAAUAUUGGUCAAUGGGCGGGAGCCUGAACCAGCCAAGUCGCGUGAAGGAAGAAGGAUCUAUGGUUCGUAAACUUCUUUUGCAGGGGAAUAAAGUGCAGGACGUGUCCUGUUUUGUAUGUACCCUGAGAAUAAGGAUCGGCUAACUCCGUGCCAGCAGCCGC